GGGGACGUAGCUCAGCGGGAGAGCGUUCGCUUCACACGCGAAAAGUCGCUGGUUCGAUCCCAGCCGUCCCCACCA
rnacentral:tRNA from 1 species